rnacentral:rRNA from 1 species
ACCUUAGCAAUGUGCGAAAGCACGACUAGGUUAAUCCGAGUGAUUUCUGUUGAAGAAAUCUUUUGUCAGUCGUAAAACCACAGACGAAUAAGGGGUGGGCAAGUCUGGUGUCAGCCGCCGCGGUAAUACCAGCACCUCGAGUGGUCAGGAGGUUUAUUGGGCCUAAAGCAUCCGUAGCCGGCUUUGCAAGUCUCCGGUUAAAUCCAGCUGCUCAACAGAUGGGCUGCCGGAGAUACUACAAAGCUAGGGAGCGGGAGAGGUAGACGGUAUUCKGUGGGUAGGGGUAAAAUCCACUGAUCCAUAGAGGACCACCAGUGGCGAAGGCGGUCUACCAGAACGCGUUCGACGGUGAGGGAUGAAAGCUGGGGGAGCAAACCGGAUUAGAUACCCGGGUAGUCCCAGCUGUAAACGAUGCAAACUCGGUGAUGCAUUGGCUUAUGGCCAAUGCAGUGCCGCAGGGAAGCCGUUAAGUUUGCCGCCUGGGAAGUACGGACGCAAGUCUGAAACUUAA